AUGAAGAGUAUGUGUGAAGCAGGACCUGAAGGAAGCCACAGGCCCACCCUGUGCCAGCUGGGCUCCUCGGGAGGACUGGUCUACAUCAAGAUUCAGAGAAUCCAGAAAGGCCUUCAUCAUUUGACCCAAGUAAAGAUGCUCAGAUUGAACCAGAGAUGUUGUGAGAGGGGUCAGCAGACUCGUGGUGUCCAGAAGCCACCUCUUCUGCGGAUGCCAGCUUCCCAGGCCCAGGCAGUAUCUUUACAGUAGCUGAAGGCCUCAAUUAUUCUACACACGGGGCUUCAGGGAGCCCCCUGCUUGCUAGGGGAGAGCUAGAGAACUGGUCUUCAAGCUUUGUUAGCAAAGAAGUGCACAGUUUUUGUUGAGUGGGGCUUUAUUUGGGGUGACCUGGGGGUGGGCAGUCAGGGAUUAUGAAAAGGGUUUAGCCCACUCUCCCCCUGCAGGCACCAAGUUAUCUGUUUUCCCCACCUAUCCUCAGAGGUUCUGACUGCAUCCAAAAAUGCCCUAGUAAGGAAAUGUAACGUGUGGUCCAGUGGUUCUGAACCCUGGCCAGACAGAGAUGAAUAAUAUACUAGAAGGAAUCAAUAGCAGAAUAACUGAGGCGGAAGCAUGGAUAAAUAACCUGGAGGACAGAAUGCAGAACAGAAUACCGAAAAAAGAAUGGAGAGGAAAAAAAAAAAAAGACAGCCUAAGAGACCUCUGGGACAACAUUAAACACACGGACAUUUGCACUAUAGGGUCCCAGAAAGAGAAGAGAGAGAAAAAGGACCUGAGAAAAUAUUUGAAGAGGUAAUAGCUAAAAAGUUCUCUAACAUGGAAAAGGAAAUAGUCAAGUCCAGGAAGCACUGAGAGUCCUAGGCAGGAUAACCCAAAGAGGAACACACUGAGACUCAUAGUAAUCCAACUGACAGAAGACAAAGAUAAAAUAUUAAAACCAACAAGGGAAAAAUGCCAAAUAAUAUACAAGGGAACUCCCAUCAGGUUAUCAGCUGAUUUCUCAACAGAAACUCCACAAACCAGAAGGGAAUGGCACAAUAUAUUUAAAAUAAUGAAAGGGAAGAACCCACAACCAAGAAUACUCUACCCAGC
rnacentral:lncRNA from 1 species